GGUAUAGGUUUUCGGAUCUAGAGACCGGCGCACGGGUGCGUAACGCGUAUGCAAUCUACCUUUUGCAGAGGGAUAGCCCAGAGAAAUUUGGAUUAAUACCUCAUAGUAUGCAGAGUUGGCAUCAACACUGCAUUAAAGUCACAACGGCAAAAGAUGAGCAUGCGUCCCAUUAGCUAGUUGGUAAGGUAACGGCUUACCAAGGCUACGAUGGGUAGGGGUCCUGAGAGGGAGAUCCCCCACACUGGUACUGAGACACGGACCAGACUCCUACGGGAGGCAGCAGUGAGGAAUAUUGGACAAUGGGCGCAAGCCUGAUCCAGCCAUGCCGCGUGCAGGAUGACGGUCCUAUGGAUUGUAAACUGCUUUUAUACGAGAAGAAACACUCCUUCGUGAAGGAGCUUGACGGUAUCGUAAGAAUAAGGAUCGGCUAACUCCGUGCCAGCAGCCGCGGUAAUACGGAGGAUCCAAGCGUUAUCCGGAAUCAUUGGGUUUAAAGGGUCCGUAGGCGGUUUAAUAAGUCAGUGGUGAAAGCCCAUCGCUCAACGGUGGAACGGCCAUUGAUACUGUUAGACUUGAAUUAUUAGGAAGUAACUAGAAUAUGUAGUGUAGCGGUGAAAUGCUUAGAGAUUACAUGGAAUACCAAUUGCGAAGGNNNNNUACUACUAAUUGAUUGA
rnacentral:rRNA from 1 species